UACGUAGGUGGCAAGCGUUGUCCGGAUUUACUGGGCGUAAAGAGCGCGCAGGCGGUCGAUCAAGUCGCGUGUGAAAGCCCCCGGCUCAACUGGGGAGGGUCACGCGAUACUGAUCGACUCGAAGGCAGGAGAGGGUAGCGGAAUUCCAGGUGUAGCGGUGAAAUGCGUAGAUAUCUGGAGGAACACCGGUGGCGAAGGCGGCAUCCUGGACCAAUACUGACGCUGAGGAGCGAAAGCCAGGGGAGCAAACGGG
rnacentral:rRNA from 1 species